GCUCGGGGGCGGCGGGGGCAACGGAGGCUGCGGGGGCGGCGGCGCGAGCGGCCGGGCUUGGGGGGGGAGCCGAGCCCGGCCCGGGAGCCCGAGCAGCGAGAGCGCGGGAUACGUAGGCCCCUCACGUUGGAGUCCACAGUCUCCGGGCCGCCUGACCUCCGCACGGGUAUAUGGGAUGGAAGCGGGACCCUCGGGAGCAGCUGCGGGCGCCUACCUGCCCCCCCUGCAGCAGGUAUUCCAGGCACCUCGACGGCCUGGCAUUGGCACUGUGGGGAAACCAAUCAAGCUCUUGGCCAAUUACUUUGAGGUGGACAUUCCUAAGAUCGACGUCUACCACUACGAGGUGGACAUCAAGCCGGAUAAGUGUCCUCGCAGAGUUAAUCGGGAAGUGGUGGAAUACAUGGUCCAGCAUUUCAAGCCUCAGAUCUUUGGUGAUCGCAAGCCCGUGUAUGAUGGAAAGAAGAAUAUUUACACUGUCACAGCACUGCCCAUUGGCAACGAACGGGUCGACUUUGAGGUGACAAUCCCUGGGGAAGGGAAGGAUCGAAUUUUUAAGGUCUCCAUCAAGUGGCUAGCCAUUGUGAGCUGGCGCAUGCUGCAUGAGGCCCUGGUCAGUGGCCAGAUCCCUGUUCCCCUGGAGUCGGUGCAAGCCUUGGAUGUGGCCAUGAGGCACCUGGCAUCCAUGAGGUACACCCCUGUGGGCCGCUCCUUCUUCUCACCGCCUGAGGGCUACUACCACCCGCUGGGGGGUGGGCGCGAGGUCUGGUUCGGCUUUCACCAGUCUGUGCGCCCUGCCAUGUGGAAGAUGAUGCUCAACAUUGAUGUCUCAGCCACUGCCUUCUACAAGGCACAGCCAGUGAUUGAGUUCAUGUGUGAGGUGUUGGACAUCAGGAACAUAGACGAGCAGCCCAAGCCCCUCACGGACUCUCAGCGUGUUCGCUUUACCAAGGAAAUUAAGGGCCUGAAGGUGGAAGUGACCCAUUGUGGACAGAUGAAGAGGAAAUACCGUGUGUGUAAUGUUACCCGCCGCCCUGCUAGCCAUCAGACGUUUCCCUUGCAGCUGGAAAGUGGACAGACUGUAGAGUGCACAGUGGCACAAUAUUUCAAGCAGAAAUACAACCUUCAGCUCAAGUAUCCCCACCUACCUUGCCUGCAAGUUGGCCAAGAACAAAAGCAUACCUAUCUGCCCCUAGAGGUCUGUAACAUUGUGGCUGGGCAGCGCUGCAUAAAGAAGCUGACUGACAACCAGACUUCAACCAUGAUAAAGGCUACAGCUAGGUCAGCCCCAGACAGACAGGAGGAGAUAAGUCGCCUGAUGAAGAAUGCCAGCUACAACCUAGAUCCCUACAUCCAGGAAUUUGGAAUCAAAGUGAAAGAUGACAUGACGGAGGUGACAGGGCGAGUGCUGCCGGCGCCCAUCUUGCAGUACGGCGGCCGGGUGAGCAGGAACCGGGCCAUUGCCACACCCAAUCAAGGUGUUUGGGACAUGCGGGGGAAACAGUUCUACAAUGGGAUUGAGAUCAAAGUCUGGGCCAUCGCCUGCUUCGCACCCCAAAAACAGUGUCGAGAAGAGGUGCUCAAGAACUUCACAGACCAGCUGCGGAAGAUUUCCAAGGAUGCAGGGAUGCCCAUCCAGGGUCAGCCUUGUUUCUGCAAAUACGCACAAGGGGCUGACAGCGUGGAGCCCAUGUUCCGGCAUCUCAAGAACACCUACUCAGGGCUGCAGCUCAUUAUCGUCAUCCUGCCAGGGAAGACGCCAGUGUAUGCUGAGGUGAAACGAGUUGGAGAUACUCUUUUGGGAAUGGCAACACAGUGUGUGCAGGUGAAGAACGUAGUCAAGACAUCGCCUCAGACUCUAUCCAACCUCUGCCUCAAGAUCAAUGUCAAACUUGGUGGCAUUAACAACAUCCUAGUCCCACACCAGCGCUCUGCUGUCUUUCAACAGCCAGUGAUAUUCCUAGGAGCAGAUGUUACACACCCCCCAGCAGGGGAUGGGAAAAAACCUUCUAUCACAGCAGUAGUAGGCAGUAUGGAUGCCCACCCCAGCCGAUACUGUGCUACUGUGCGGGUACAGCGACCACGGCAGGAGAUCAUUGAAGACUUGUCCUACAUGGUGCGUGAGCUGCUCAUCCAAUUCUACAAGUCCACCCGCUUCAAGCCGACGCGCAUCAUCUUCUAUCGAGAUGGGGUCCCAGAAGGCCAGCUUCCCCAGAUCCUCCACUAUGAGCUACUGGCCAUUCGAGAUGCCUGCAUCAAACUGGAAAAGGACUACCAGCCUGGGAUCACUUACAUUGUGGUGCAGAAACGCCAUCACACCCGCCUUUUUUGUGCUGACAAGAAUGAGCGACUCCCUGGCCUAGACCCCAUAUAUAGAACAACUCCCAGAGAAAGGAAAGGGAACAACCAUUUAUUGAACUUCUCCUAUGUGCCAGAUACUGUACAAGGCGUCUUCCUCACAGCAACCCUGUGAGAUUGGGAAGAGUGGUAACAUCCCAGCUGGGACCACUGUGGACACCAACAUCACCCAUCCAUUUGAGUUUGACUUCUAUCUGUGCAGCCAUGCAGGCAUCCAGGGUACCAGCCGACCAUCCCAUUACUAUGUCCUUUGGGAUGACAACCGUUUCACAGCGGAUGAGCUUCAGAUAUUGACAUACCAGCUGUGCCACACUUAUGUACGAUGCACACGUUCUGUCUCUAUCCCAGCACCAGCCUACUAUGCCCGCCUAGUGGCUUUCCGGGCACGAUACCACCUGGUGGACAAGGAGCAUGACAGUGGAGAGGGGAGCCACAUAUCGGGGCAGAGCAAUGGGCGGGACCCCCAGGCCCUGGCCAAAGCCGUGCAGGUUCACCAGGAUACUCUGCGCACCAUGUACUUCGCUUGAAGGCAGAACGCUGUUACCUCACUGGAUAGAAGAAAGCUUUCCAAGCCCCAGGAGCUGUGCCGCCCAAAUCCAGAGGAAGCAAGGAGAAGGGAGGUGGGGUAGGGAGGAGUGCAGGAGGCCUUGUUUCUUUCUGCAGAGGGGGUGUAACGGUGGGGAAUAGGGCCAGCAAGACAGACCACCAGCCAGAAAUCUCUGAUAUUAACCUCAUGCUCCCCACCCCUCACCUCAUCUUGUCACAUCUGGCCCUGACCCCACUGGACCAAGAGGGGCAGCACUGGUGCCCACCAUACACACAGGUGUCUCAUGUGACUCACAGUGCUAACUAAAGACUCAUGCUUGACAGCUUGGUAAGGUCGGCUCUGUAGCCCUGCGGACAAAAGCUGAUAGGUUUGGGUUUGCUACUUUAGUUGGAAAAGUAAAGGGCUUGAGAAAGUGGGUGGGAGGAGGGAAGGAUUUUUUUUUAGGAGCCUUAAUCAAAAAAGGUCUAGAUUUGUCUAAAAAGAAAAAUGAAACCAGACCCAGAUCAAUAUUUUAGGAUACUAAAUGUUUUCAUGGGUUCAGAAUCCAGUUUGUAGGAAGAUUUUUAAUGCUAAUAGUUUUGGUUGCUCCUCCCCAGCUGCCACCCCCACCCACCGCCCUUAUUCCUCUCCACAUUUUCUACCCCAUCCUACGCCUCCUUCCUGACAGUCAUCCAGCCCUCCUAGCAACACUUAAGGCACUAUGGCACUUAGCUCUGAAGUGACACGACCCUGUCUUCCUUCCGCCUGCUGGUGGGUAACCAGUGCCUUCCCUGUAAUGGUAAUGCUGCAGAACUGCAACCUUUUGUACCUUUCUUUGGGGGAUGGGGUGGGGGUGGGAGAGGAGGUAGGUGGGGAAGAAAUAUCCUGAACACAACAAGCCUCCAGCCAGAAUGCCAGCUAUUUUGCAUUUAAAGGAAUUGAUUUCCACAUUCAUUGAGCUUUGGAAAAGAUUACAACCUCAAGAUGGUUAAAAUCCAUUGACAUUUGCACUUUCAGACGUGACAAGUCUCGGAGCUGCUGAGAUGACUGGCCCUUGGCCUUUCCACUUUUGCCUCUUUUUUCCCCAUACCUGCCACCCUGCCCUGGUCUAGAGUUACUUUCAUAGCAUUUCUCACUCUUGGCUUCUUUUUUUUCCCCCUGAUGGUCAAGUUUCUUGUGUUUCAAUAUUUCUUAAAUGGGGUGUCUUAUAACAGAAGAUCCUUAGGUUUAAAAUAAGAAAAAGAAAACUAAAUGUUAUUUUUAUACCACAACUUGAGUCUAUUGCCAAAAUCUGGAAAUCGCUCCCAUGCCUGAUGAGUUUACAUCCCGGAAACAUUGAGCCAUCAGAAGGAACUGUGUACCUGACUUGUCUUCUGGCCUGGCUAGGUAAAGGGUGGUGGUCUCCCCAAGGUGGAGCUCGAGCUCUAUCCUUCCUCUGUGCAGAAAAUACCUUUUUCUUGCUGCAGGCUCCCUUCUCUGCACUAUCCUGCACUCUUUCCUGCAAAUGCAUCUUCCCUUCCUUUGGACUGGACUGUCCUUUGACUCAUCCCAGAUUCUAGCAUGUCCUGUGGACAGGCUGGGAAUUUUGCUGCUCCCUAAUGCUUCUGUUUACACAAAGGAAUUUUUCCUGGUUUCCCACUAGGGCAUGUGAGUGGGUGGCAUGGUUUUUCCUUUUCUUUUUCUUUUUCUUUUUCUUUUUUUUUUUUUUGUCUUGAGAUAUGGGGUUUGGCUCUCUUGCAAGACUGGAAACGAAGGGGGUUCUUAUGCUGACCUUGAAGCAAGGUCCCCUCUUUCCUUGACUGUUCUCCCCCACCCUCACCUCGUGUCCUGAGGAGUUUCAACUUCAGUGGGGAAAUUCCUCUUUUUGAAGAGCUUGGGCUUGGGUAUCCCCCUCUGGUUAUGAAGCCAUGAUACCUGAGAUCUAGCCCAGGCUUGGAGGCCAGCUGGGAGAAGGAGGGUCUGAAUCCUGGUCUGUGGAGUUAGAGCUACCCUUUUCUUUCCAAGGCAGCCCUUGUACAGACCCAGAUUUGCUAUGCAAAACAAUUUAUCCCAGGUUCUGUUCUGGUUGGCUACAUUGUUCAACAACUUCAUAAAACGUAGCAAACAUUCAUUAUGGAGAAAGCAACAGGACUGUUGAGUAACUCCUCCUGUAUUUUUUUCCUGCUGGCUACAGUAUGGGGUGCCCCAUGGGCACAAGCCCAGCUAAGGAACAGAAUGGAGGGCUCUGGGAGGAGGCAGCUUACUGGAGAGCCUACAUUCCUUACACAAGUGCCUAAAGAGAGUGAUGCCAACACUCCAUCUGCCCUGUCCAUCGCCUUCACAUACAGUCUACUUCAUGUUCUGUCACCCUUUAGGGAAGGAGCUCUCCUAGGACAGUGGGCUCUGCAAGUUCUCUAUUUGGGUACAUUUUGGGGCUGUGAUAAGGGCACUAUUCCUGGAGGGUCUAGUCAUUCACCAGCAUUUGCAAAAGUCCAUAGGGAACAGGUGGCAGUCCCUUCUUGCAGCAGCAAGUUUGUGCUCUCUCCUUCUCUAUCUCUGCCUCACUCUCUCCAGUUGUGUUUUAAGCUGGGGCUUGAAAGGCAUAUUUGGUCUUUUGGCAUUGCACAUGCCUUUGAAGAAAUAAAAGCAAGAGAAGCAGUUUGGGCAAUGAUAAGAAAAUUACUUCUUGCUUAAUGUAAUGGAAAAAUAUGUUUGAGACUUGAAAAAUACCCUUGACAAUGUUGAUUAUUCUUGUUCGAAGGGUGUUACACGCACAGUAAGAAGUGGUGUUGCAAGCAAGCCAAAGCUUGGUUUAAGUAGUGCUUCUUACCAGGCUCCAAGGAAGCACUGAGAGGGCCCUGGUUAGACUCAUCCUCUUAGACAGGCCUCUAACUCCCUUUGUCCCACUGUUUUGCCUGCCUUUUCCUAUUCUCACUUUCCUUGGCUUCCUCUUCCUUUUUUCUGUUCACUCAGCUUGCUUGCUGGCCAGCCUGCUUGCCUGUCUGCCUAUGUGAUGAUGAAUUCUCUGCAUGGCUGCAGUGAUCCCACUGUUAGUUGACAAAGUUAGGCUUAACCCCUUUUCUGCAGAAGACCAAGAACCUGCUCCCCACACCCAGUGGUAUUAACCCUGGGUUGGACUCUCCUCAAGCUUACACUAGGGCAAAGCAGUAGGUCUGCCCAACUGGCAUGAAAUCAGGAGGGUUUCUGUCAGUUCCAUAUUUAUCCACUCCUUGGAUCUGGUUUCUCUCAUAUUUUCUGGUUCUGCUUCCUUUUCUCUUUACCUGAGACUUCCCUUUGCUGAGGAUAUUCCAGGGUUGAGCUAUUUGGGUAUUCAGGGUUGGAGGGUUAGAAGAUAGAUACAGAGGAAGAAGGGAGUGUUUGGAAGAGAGUGGAGAGAGUUUGGAUUAAAGAUGAGAAAGGAAAGCAGUGCUCUUUGUCCAGUCCAACACGACCUUUUGGUGUCGAGGUGCUACUGUUGGCUUCUGGGGUUAAACCUGGGGCUAUUGUUGCUGGGAACACUUAGAAUAAGGCUAAAGAGGGUACCUAGAAGUUUGAAACCUCCCUAAAAAGCUCCUAGUCCCCACCUGUGAGAUAGCUCCUCUGUGGUGUCCUCUUUGGCUGAGAAGCAGUGUUUUUGGAUAGUUUUUUUUUCUUUUUUUUUCUUUUUGGUCCAGAAUGAUGUGAAUAGGACUGCACACAUGAUGAACAGCCAAGACGACUGUUUUCUUACCUUGCUGAUGUGGUAUCUGCAAGGCUAGACCUGGCAUCCUGUGUGACAAAAAAGGAUGGAAGCUCCUUCCUUUUCAGGGUAGAAAAGUCAUCUCAAACUAGCCAAAAGGCAGUUUUGGAAACAAUGUUGGGGAAAGUAAUUUUUAUUUAUUUACUGGGUUUGGGCAGAUCCAGGAUGAUAGCUGGGAAGCCUUUCUUCUUCAAGUCUGAUCAUGGCAGGGAUAUGCAGGGCACUCUUCCCUCUAGGCCUUCUAAGCAGACUGGGGAGGAGGGAAUUCUCUGGUUUUCUCUUUCCCUCCACUUACUAGGACUUGCCUCCUCCCUUGGCCGGGAGCGAGGCUGGGUUGGUGCUCUCCCUUUACUCUACUCCUGACUUAGAACCUCUGGCUGCUGUUUGGGAGCCCAAGAAAGGGAGUGGAAGGAAUGGGCUCAAAACAAAACAAUGAUGUGGGGAAGGCAGAUUUCCUACUUUAAAAAGGAAAAUGGGAAACUCUCCAAGAAUUGUGCAAGUAAAGACAAUGUGUCCAAAAGCACUGAGUCCCCUGGUGUAGUAGCAAUAAGGAAAAAUGAAAUGACUUUCCUGUACACACAGUCCAACCUGAUUGGUGUGUGAUGUUGCACUUAGCAGCCAUGUGGUGGGCAUGUGUGACUACUCUGGGUUUCACUUUAGUUUCUAAACUUUUUAUCCCUCUCAAGUCCAGCAUGGAUGGGGAAGUGUCCCUGGAGCCCCACAGCUGUGUACUUGUUUGCGUUUGUUUCCCUUUGGGACUUGUGUUUGUGUCCUGCUUUGAGCUGUACCUUGUCCAGUCCAUUGUGAAAUUAUCCCAGCAGCUGUAUUGUACAGUUCCUUCAGAAGCAAGCAACAGCAGCAGCACAAUUCUGUGUUUUAUAAAGACAACAGUGGCUUCUAUUUCUAAA